GGGAGCCGGAGGAAAGGCAGCCGCCGAGCGCCGAGCUGGCCGCGCCCCGAGGCCCGGCCCUGGGGGUGGGGAGCGGCGCCGAGGAGCUGGAAACUUUCCCGGCAGGUAACUCCGCCGCCCGGGCGCCGCCGAGGGCCUCCGCGCGUCCUGGCCAGGGCCAGCUGCCUGGGUGCGGAGAGGAGGAGCUGUUGGACAAGAACAUCUCUUAGGAAAAAGGGCAGAAGAGAAAAUUGUGAACAAGACCCCUACUCCCUUUUAUCAGUGAAUGACAAGUUACCAAAAAUAG